rnacentral:rRNA from 1 species
AUAUCAGUCAUGCAUAGCAUAUCAAUAAGCGGAGGAAAAGAAACUAACAAGGAUUCCCUUAGUAACGGCGAGUGAAGCGGGAAGAGCUCAAAUUUGAAAUCUUCAAGGUUUUACCUUGACGAAUUGUAGUUUAAAGAAGUGUUUUCUGUUGAAGUUUUGGUAAAAGUUCUUUGGAAUAGGACAUCAUAGAGGGUGAGAAUCCCGUAUUUGACCAUUACUUUCAGCUUUGUGAUACACUUUCAAAGAGUCGGAUUGUUUGGGAAUGCAGUCCAAAAUGGGUGGUAAAUUUCAUCUAAAGCUAAAUAUUGGCGAGAGACCGAUAGCGAACAAGUACCGUGAGGGAAAGAUGAAAAGAACUUUGAAAAGAGAGUUAAACAGUACGUGAAAUUGUCAAAAGGGAAGCGUUUGACACCAGUGUUGUUUUCUCGAAAAUCAAUUAAAAAGAGUUGGAUUUUGUGUUGUAUUGACUUUAUCAGCUUUCUUCACUCUUUUCCAGCUUUUUUUAAUGCACUUUUCGUUUAACAAGUCGACAUCAGUUUCUUUUGUUAUAAAAAGGUCAUUGGAAGGUGGCUUUCUCUUCGGAGAAAGUGUUUAUAGCCUUUGACUCAUGCAAUCGGAGAGACUGAGGUCUGCAGCGUAGAUCCUUCGGGGUUAGAUACAUUUGUGCUAAGUUAUAGCUUUUCAUAGACAACUUGUUGACUAUGUUUAGUCUUGUAGCUUACUCGCUUAUGCUAUUUUACCUACGCUUAGGAUGUUGAACUCUAUCACACACAG